GGGGAGUCUGAGGCCUAGAUUAUCAAGGGUGCUCUUCUACUGUUAUGGUGAAAUGGACUCAGUGUUCCCUGUACAGUAAACCCCUUGGAGUAUGGUUUCACUGGGAAGUAGUUAAGCAGUGAAUCAAGUUCAGAAGCUGGCAGGACCAAUAUCAAUUGAUCAGUGCUAAUCCUCAGUGAGGUAUGAAAAUAAUAAAAUGAACUCUUAAAUUCUUCUACAUAAUAGGAGGACUUAAUUUAAGAUACAUAUUUUGUAUGUUAUAACAAACAUUAGUUUUGAAAAGUUGUGAUAACAUCAGAAUUAUACCGCUUAGACCUUUUUAGCUUAAGUGGUAAGACAAAAAUAUGUCUAAAUAUAUAAA